CUCUCCAUCUCUUUCUGCCCCUCCCUUGCUUGCUAUCUCUUGCUCAAAAUAAAUAAAAACAAACUUAAAGAAAAUCGAUUCUAGAAAUAACAGGAAGUUCAUUGUGGCUGGAAAACGGGAUGGGUAGAGAGGAAAUUCAAAGCAUAGUUUAGUGCUGAGCCAAACAGAUUUAUAUGCUCUUCUGGGAGUUGAACUCAUGUAUAUAGUCGAUGGGAUACCUUUGAAGGGUUAAAUGCAGGGAAAUGAUUGAAGACUGAAGUUUUGGAUGGUCAUGAAAACGUGAGGAGAGGAGUACCAGAGGCCAGAAGAUCAGUUGAUUCUCUAGGUAAGGAAUAGGGCCUGCCCUGGGUAACCCCCAGGAUGGGAAGGGUGGGCCAGGGUGUGUACGAAGAUCUGAGAGAAACCUGAAGUCCAUGGUGAGAAGAUUUAGAGAGGAAGAAGGCAUAUGUGUCUCCCCUUCCCUACCUUUUUUUUGUGGUUUUUUUUUGUUGUUUGUUUUUUGCUCUGAAUAUCUGUUGGUGCCAUUAACUGAGAAAGUGAGGACAGGCGGAGGAAUUGGGGGCAGGGGGUAGGGGAGAAAGAGGACUCAGUUUUGAAUACAUUGAACCUGGUUGGAACCUAACCUAGCACUAGAACUCAGGAGAAAGGUCUGGAAUGGAAACGAAAUACACUGAGACACACACAUAUGUGUGUUAUGUACUUACCACUUGCAGAUUUGACCAUGAGGAAAGGAGAAAGCAGUGAAGUCCAACAUUUGAAGAUUGAGCAGAAGAGAAGCUCAAAAAGUGUUCCAAAAGUGAGUCUGCUGCACAGCCAAGGGGUGUCCAUCACUGACCCACAAGUAUGUGGCAGUGGUGCCCGCAGUUACAAUGCAGCCAGGUAUGUGCUGGGCUCCAGACCCUUCUGUCCGACUUACCCGUUCCACAUGGCCAUUUCGAGUUUCCCGUGUCCCGAACUGGUCUUCCCCUCCUUCCUUCCAUGCACCCCUCUUCUCGUGUCGUCUGUCUGUGAAUAGCACAAGUAUCCCUUCAGGUGCCCAAAGCAGACACUUGCCAGCCGCCCACCCCCAACUCGUGCAUCCCGUCAGCAGGCCUGUUCGUUCCACCUU